UGAGGGAGGAAUGAACCAGAAAAGUUGUUGUUGGGGGGUGGAGGGAGGUAGUCAAGAAAACCAAACGACAAACCAGGAAACACAGCUUUGUAGCUCAUUUGGAGAAAAUGCAAGUUACAAAUGAGUAGUCACUAAAAUAAAGAAAGAAAAGGGAAGGGAAGAAAACCAACCAGAGUGAGACUGAGAGAAAGAGGAAGAAAACCACAUUCAAACCAAGCAGAGUGGCAGGGCUUAUCUGGAGAUGGGAGCAGCGAGCGCACAGCUGAGCUGGGAUACCUACCUUCUCAGUGGUCAGGGACGGGAAUGCAAUAAUAAAAAAGAAAAGAAGGUCUCCGCAUUGGGAAUGCAGAAUGGGGAAAGACAGUGACUUUGAGCUGCGCUCCCCCUCUGAGUUGGCAUAUGGCAGCUAAGUGUGGCUUUUGGUCUAGUCCCAGGGACAGCAGGGGCCUCCUGCCCAGCCAUUUCUGUUUGCUUUCCCCCCUCCCACCACAGGUUCCAAUAGCCAAGCUUUUCUUAACUCUUUAAACAACAGAAAACCUCCAGAGGGCAUGCAGGAAGCAGCUGAUGGGAGCAGAACCACAGGGCGGGUGAAGGAGGGGCUUGCAGCCUGGGGAGAGAGGCCCAUUUCAGGGGGGUAUGGAGAGAAAGAGACAGAGAGGCUCAAGGAGAGAGAGAAAGAGAGAGAGAGAGAGAGAGAGAGAGAGAGAGAGAGAGAGAGACAGAGAGACAGAGAGACAGAGAAGCAAAGGCAGGAGGAAGAAGGAAAUAGAGGCACAGAGAAAGGUGGACCCAGCCAGAAAGAAGGAGAAGCUGUUUAAACAAGGCCAACCAGAGUGGACAGAUGGGGUGAAGUGGGAACUGUGCAUUUAAAAGGGAAGGCAACCACAGAUUCAAUGUGGAGGACUGAUCCUGCCUCAAGUCAACCUUAUUCCCUUUCCCCCUGGCUUCAGCACCAUUUAGCAAAAUUCAUCCCUCCUGCUUUCUGGCUUCAGCCUAGAAGAAAUGCCAAGGUGUCCCUUCCUAGUCUCACUUCCCCACUCCAGCCAUGGUCACUGCUCUCCCCUGGGGUGUCGAGGAGAGAGGCCUGGAUGAGACAGGUCAGGCAGUGCCAUGGACACCUCUUCUUGGGGUCACUCUAGGCUUCCCAUUUUGAGAUGAACUUUGAACCAGAGGCCGAGGCCAGAGAGCCUGGGGGCCUUGCUCAUGAAGCAUCUCAGCAAAUGGUGAGGCUUCCCUCAACACUUCCAAUGCUAGGGCCAGGGGGAGCCAAGGAAGGGGGCCCCACUCCUAAGGCUGCAAUCCCCGCACACCCUCUCUGGCCAGUUCACUGGGCUUUGGGCUCAGUAUCUUACUUUUCUACCCCACAUUGCGUGACCUUGAGCAGCUUCCUUUCCCUCAUUGUGCCUCAUUAUUUCUUUCCCCACAUGGGGGUGAACUGUGAGGGCUUAGGGUUCCCCGAGUUGCUAAAGCUGCAGUCAUAUAAAGUUGUGCAACACCAGGCUCACCUAUACCCUGGGGAGUUCAGAGAGCCAACAACAUCUAGAGGGGUCCCCAGGGGAGAGGUAAGAGCUGAGACCCCCAGAAUCCACUUCCCAAAUCCUCCUCCUCCUCCUCCUCCUCCUCUUCCUCUUAUUCAGGUUCCUGAAGUGUGCUUCCCGUUGACUACCAUCUCCACAUCUUGGCUGUGGCCGGGGUCUUGAGGUUAGAGGGUCUCCUUUUUAGGUCUGCCUCUAAAAUGCUGUGUGUCUUGAGCUGGUCAUUUGAUCUCUGUGAGCUGCAGAGAGCAGUAGGCAGCAGAACCCAGAAAUCCCUUUGGGGGUUCAGCCCUGGCCUGGGAUGGGACAACAAAGAGAUGUUGGGAGCCAGCAUCCUAUGGCCUCAGUCUCAAAACCAGGAUGGAUUUUUUCUUUCUCCUGGUUGGGAGUGUCUGGCUUUGAAGCCCUCACCUGAGCUAAACUCUCUCCGGUGUCUUCAGCACCCUCUUCCAGGCUCGCCCUGCCAUGCCCAGCCGUUAUCUUAUGCUAGACAGAACCGAGGAGACACAGGAAGCUCACUGCUCUGGGAAGGUCCCUGGGUGACUGGGACAAGUCCCUCCCUCCUUGGGUCCCCAGCUUCUCUCCAAAGUUCCUUAUAGACAGGGACCCAGAGUAAGGUCUGCACCACUUUUGUUCAUUUGAAAGCUGAGGCAGUUCCACCAGUGCCCUUUGCCUGGGGUUGAGGGAAGGGAUGGCUGCUGCUGCAGAUUUGGCAGAAGCUGUUGGCCUGGGAAACGAUUUUUAAGUGUUAUCUUCCCUUUUAAAUUCUGAUUACAAAGGAAAAAUAAUUAUAUAGAGGUAUGUAUAUGAUUAAUGUUCACUGAAAUUCAAACACCAUUUCUGCAUUAGGAGGAGAGGCUCCCACAGUAACGCACAAAAGCAAAAUUCUAGAACAACAGAGAAGAUAGAAAAAAACCCAGAGAGAUAGUUUGCAUUUCUGUACAUUACAAAAGAAAAAAAAAGGAAAAGAAAAUACAAACAAAAAAUGAAAUAAAAUAACAGGAAGAGUUACAGAAACUUCCCCACCCUCUUCCCUUGCCACUAAACAAGAAAUGGAAUCACAAUAUUACCACGUUUCAAAUGGGAGGCUAAAAACAAAAACAAAAACAGAAACAUAGACGGGGUUAAGAAUGGUGAGUUUUUCUUUUUCCAUUUGUCUCUCUCUCUUUUUUUAAAGGUGAGAGUCCAAGAAUACCACCCCCAGUGCUUUUCCCAAAAAACAUUUUUGGUUAAUGGCAAAGUCUAUGACCCCCAUCUCACCUCCCAGGAGGCAAGAGAGAACCAGCCUCAUCUCACUUUAAGAGAGGCUCUAAGGGCAAGGAGGGGAUCUGGGUGCAGGUGAGAGGCAGGGGAUGCUCAGCAGUCUUUGAACUCCCAGAGCCCAGAGGGUAGAGAGAGAAUUGGGGGACCAUGUUUUGUGAAAGGAGUAACGAAGUGCUGCCUCCCAGGAAACUCCCAGGGCAAUGUCAAAAUGGAGUCCCACUUUGGGAGGGAGAAGAUUGGGGUGCUGCCAAGGCUUCCUCCCCAGGCCAGCGGCUAGGCCACCUUCCCUGACUGCUUACUCCUAGGGUCUACCUAGUUGCUGUGACCAUUUUGUUUGCACAUGCUCAGGGCCCUUGUGGGGGCUACUGCUUAGGCAUCCAAGGCUGGGGAGGGGACCAGCAGUGGGAAGGGGCCUCCUUUCCACCCUGACCUGGAAAAACAUGCCUUUCGGUGCCUCCAGGAGAAGGUGUUUGGGGCACUGUGCUGCUCAGGCUUUGUGCCCAUGGGGUAGGACAUUGGGCAUCAUGUCUCAGACCUGUCCCUGUCCUGUUUGCCCUCAGCUACCUCUGCGUGCUCUCUCCCACACCCAGGACAGAUCCAGAGACAUUGGUGUGAUCCUUCCCACGUGGCCCGACCAGGCCCCUCAGCGCUCAAGAGCCUGGCACCCUGUCCAGGAGGGGCAGUUUCCACACAGCCUCCAGCCUCCGGAGGCCGCCUUGCUCUUCUGCUGCCGAGCUGUCAUCAAUCACUGCCUGGCGGCAGCGCUCCGCCUCUGAUGCUCCCCAUCCAUCUUGCAGAGCUCUCCCCUACACUCAGCAGGGCCCCUGGUGGUCCUGGCCCUGCUCCUGGUUCAGGAGCCCAGCCGUCAGCCAGAUGUUUGCACCCUGCGGGCAUGUCAGAGAAUGAUGCUUUUUUUCCAAAAGGCAGCUGGACUGAAGGCAAGCGCAUGGGUUUUGAAGCUGCAGUUGUGUCAUCAUCACACACGGACCCUAAGUCAUUGUAUGGCCUGGUGCCUGUCUGCCCCCUCUCUGAACCUCUUCUCCAAAAUGAGAGUGAUAACUGUUACAGGGCUUUGGGAGAAUUCGCUGAGGUAACCGGUGCUUUGCAACUUUGCUUUUUAGUAAACACGCCCAGAAGCCACCCUCUAAAAGCCCAGCUCCAGGGUACCGGUUCCAGGGUGGUGCCCCCCCAACGCCCACUAUUUUUCAUUCCAUGCUGGCUCAGACAAUGCCCUUCCUGCAUGGAGGCUCAGUUACCCUCCCUCAUUGCACCCCUAAUCCAGCCCUCACCUGGCUGGAUUCCAUUCACUUGGCUCAUUCUUCCCCUGCCCUGAGAGAGAGAGAAAGGCCAGGACUUGGAUGGCAGAGUGUUAAAAACAUGACAUGAGCUUUGGAUUCACACAGACAGGUCUGAAUCCAGGCAUGACCAAGCUCACUGAGCCUCAAGGUCCUUAUCUAUCCAACGAGGAAAGAAUAUCCCAGCUUUGAGGAGAGGAUUAAGUGAGAGUCUGUCUUUGAAGCUCCUGUUGUCCCGUUGUCAUCCCCCUUCCCCCCCCCCCCCCCCACACACACACUGUCACCGCUGUUAGAUGGGGAGCUCAGUCUGACACUCACACACCAACACCUCCUCUUGCAGGGAGAAAAGCAGUUGUGACACAUGAAAGAGAUACAGGACAAGAAAGGCAGACCACAGCGACGGAGGGAAAAGAAUCUUCAGAAACAAAUCUCCAGCAAUCUGCUAAUCUAGAAUCUCAGUGAUGCCAUCCAGUUCCCUAAUGUGACCCUGGCAGCCUUGAAGUCAUCCAGGUAGUACAGGAGGUUUUUCUGGAGUGAUGGGGGAGAGGCUCAUGUCAUUCCCCCCCACCCCCACAGAGUCAAACACCCCCACAUCCCUUCACUCAAACCUCUGUGCUCUCCCCACGCUCCUCUCCCAAAGCCAGUGGCCUCCCACCUCCUGUCCCUGUCCCUGAAAUCCCCAACUCACCCCCCACAGCCCUCAGCCACACAAAUGCCUGACACAUAAAAGAUAGUCUUUAGCAAAAUGUAAGGGCAUUCCAACAUUGUUUGGAGCCAGUGAGAGAGGGGGCUUCGGCUUAUCUGGACACAAAAAUGAGGACGGCUGUUGACAAAAUAAAGUUGCUCAGUUUGGGCACUGCCUUCUGCAGGGAGCCCUUCUUGCCUCCUAACAUCCUAGCUGAGUGAGCCACUGAGUGUAGGCCCUCACUGAGCCCCACCCCUCACUGUGCCCCCCUUACUCUGCUGGCCGCCCCCUUUCUUCCUCUGUCCUGGGACAGAACUCUCUCCCCUCUACCCCAUCCUCCUUCCCUAGGGCCUUGCCAUUUGGCCUCUCUCAUUCUUCAGUCCCUUCUGAGAGGUUUACUUGAGAGCAGGCACCGGGUAUGAGUAGCAGGCUCAGGGAGAGGCACAAGGUCUCAGAACCUUCUGGUAAGACCUGUUCUGGGAGUUCCAGGGAUGUCAAUGGGAGUAGGCCUCUUUUGCUAGUUUUGUGGGGCUGGUACCACCACAUCUGCUUUGCAAGAUCUCCCAGGGUUCUCCUAUCCUGCCUUUCCUAGAUGACAAUAUCACUAACAACAAUAUUUUCUAAUGUUUAAAUAGUUCUUUGCAGUUCACAAAUCCCACGUAGAGCUACUUAGAAAAAUUGUCCCUCCCCCCAUUUUAUAGAUGAGAAAAUUGAGGCCCAGAGAGGUUAAGGAACAUCCCCUAUGGUUUGGGACCUUUGAGUAAAGAAUGUGAGUUCACCUGUGCAAUUGGCUUUGAGAAGUCAUGUGCGAACAGGAUAGCCCUUGACUUAGCGGCUGGGGUUCCCUGCUGUAGAUGUUAGCUCAGCUGCCCCCUCCCUACUUUGUAGACACAGUUGAGGGGGUGUGUACUGAGCUCUAGAUUUGUUUAACAUUUCCUACUCUUAAGUUCAUGUUUGUGGUCUAGUUUACUUCUCAGCACGUCCAUGAAAUCGGCAGGGGAGGCAUUCCUCCCUGGGACAGAACAAAUCAAGCCCAGGUAACUGACCAAAGCAGGCCCAAAGAGUCCACUGCAGAGGGACCAAGAACACAUCGAGGAUGGACACAGCACUACACAGGACACAUGCUGGACGGGCUGCCACGGGCAAGGUUCUGACCUGGGAAAAGACCGCCUGUCACGUGCCUUCUUCCCGCCAGCAGUUUUGCUAAUUAACUGGUUCUGUUUUCCAUUAUCCAGGAGCAUAAUGGCCAAUUGACAGAUGAAUGAGUCCAGACAGAAGAGGGGCAGAUCCCAGGCAAAGGCUCUGCCCUCUCUGCUCCUGCUCAUUCACUCAGCCAGUGUGCCAGGCCUGCCAGGGGCCUGGAGGGAGGGGGGUUGUGGGGUUUAGUGACGGCAGGAAAACAGAUGAGUCAGGCCUGAGGCCUCUCCUCUAUCUUCUCAAAAUGCCGGGCAAAAAUAUAACACUGUGCAUAUUAUAAUUACUAAUGCAAGUGCCAGGUACUAUUCUAAGCACUUUACAUGUAUUUAAUCAUUUAAUGCUCAGAACAAGCCUCUGAUGUGGGUACCACCAUUAAUAGUCACAUUUACAGAUAAAAUAAUGAGGCACAGAGAGGUCACACUCCAUCUAAAAUUAGAUGCACAGAAAGAAAAGAUGAAUUUUCUCACAGUGUUAGAAAGUAACUUAUGAAUUUUGUUCUCUAUAAACCCUCUAUUCCAAACAUUUUGUUGUAUUAUAAAACUAUGAAAACAA